GUGUACAAGUGAAAGGUGAUCUGACCUGUAGUAUAACCAGAUUUCUGUAGCUAAUUAAAUACAAUUUUUCCUAUAGUUUAUUACUUAUUCCACAGUAUUCAUGUUCACUGCCACUAUAACGGUCCAGAUACCAGGCUCACAGAGGUGACCAAGACCAACUUUCUGUCUCUGAGGAGAUCCUAGUUCGGUGGUUUACAUAAUUAGCAGUAGUGCGUCUCCUUAAAAGAAUUGCAUACCAAAAGAAAAACAUAAAUAUAUCCUUUUCAUUUUUCCUUCUUUUUCUUCUAGAUGAGGAUAGGCAUUCACUCAGGUUCUGUGCUCGCCGGAGUUGUUGGGGUAAGAAUGCCACGGUACUGCCUGUUUGGAAAUAAUGUCACUCUGGCAAGCAAAUUCGAGUCAGGAAGUCACCCUCGGCGCAUCAACGUCAGCCCUACCACUUACCAACUGUGUGCUCCUGGUGACUAUGCCAGCUUGGAGAUUUGGAUGUGAUGGACUGAGGAUCCUGGAGCACUCCUUGCUGAGGCUUCCCUGGUGGGAUGUCCAGAACUACACUGGAUGCAGUCCAGGCUGUCUGUGCAGAGGGUGCCCUGGCAGGACAACUGCAGUGGAAGUGGAUGUAAGAUGAGGGAUCCUGGGGAUCUCUGCACCAAGGAUGGCCAAGAGCCAUUCAGUCAGCCCUCAGUCCUGCAGGAGGAAUUGCUCUGUAAGUAGGACACCAUUGGAAACAUCAGUUAUAUUACCAAAGCUUUGACUGGAAUGUCAUGUUUGACAGACGUGCAUAGACUCAGAUAUGACCAUACAGUUUUAAGGAAGUACGGCUGACUUUAUGAAGCACGGAGUCAAUAAAGCACCUUUGGAAAUGUUGAUCUGAUACCUUGCUUAUUACAGAGUUCCCAGCAGCCUUACCACCCCUGAAUAUUGAUGCUGCACCAUUUGGGGUGGACUUCAGAGAAAUGGGCACAAAGCUUGUGUAUGGAGAAUCUUCGUGCUUGUUGCUCUAUGGGUCAUUCAAAAGGAUCACCAGAGACAUUUGAAUUACAAACCAAAAAAACUCAUCUGAUUCCUGCUGCCUGUUCCCACUCCACCUGAGGAUGCUUCAAUUCUGACAUCUAAAAACCUUCUCAUUGGUAGCGCUGGAGACUGAGACACUAAGUUUGUAAUUUUCUACAACCAUUAACUGAAAAUUUUCUUUUGUUUCCAUAGAAGUUCCACUUAUUAAUUACCGAAUUGCUUGCCGAAUAAAACAGACUCUAUAUGAUGGCAAACACCACCUGCUACACGAUUAAGGCCUUAAGUGACUCUCAAAAUAGCAUUACAUUAUGAAACAUUGAAAUAACUCAAAUGCGUAAAGCAAAAUUGAAUGGUCUGAGAUGUCUUUUAAAAAAUUUUUUUUUAAAUGUUUUUAUUUAUUUUUGAGACAGAGAGAGACAGAGCAUGAGCAGGGGACGGGCAGAGAGAGAGGGAGAUACAGAAUCCAAAGCAGGAUCCAGGCUCUGAGCUGUCAGCACAGAGCCCAAUACGGGGCUCAAACUCACAGACCAUGAGAUCGUGACCUGAGCCGAAUUCGGACGCUUAACCGACUGGGCCACCCAGGUGCCCCAAAGAAGAGGUUUUUCUUUUUUUUUUAAUGUUUACUUAUUUUGAUAGAAAGUGAGUGAGUGGAAGAGGGGCAGAGAGAGAGAGAGAGAGGGACAGAGGAUCUGAAGCAGGUUCUGUGCUGACAGCAGAGAGCGCAACGUGGUGCAAGAACUCACAAACCCUGAGAUCAUGACCUGAGGUGAAGUUAGAUGCUCAACAGACUGAGCCACCUAGGCGACCCUUGAAUGGUCUGAGAUGUCUUAAGAGCAGCAAGAGGAACACGCUUCAUUAUUAAAACAGAAUGUUCUGUAUGUUGCAGAUUAUCACAAAAAUGUAAACAUGAUUGCUAAAAGAUACGGAUUGGUGCCUUAAAUGACCUCACUCUGUAAACUC